CUUGCCAAAACUAAACAUUUCAUUCUGUGUCAACGUACGAAAUUCACGCACUUCUGAUAUUUUCUUCGGAAAAUGUCGAACAUGACCGAAGAUAUACGAAAUCACUCGUGUAUGUGAAAACCGGCUCCUACCGGCAGAGUUCGCAACGUACAACGCUUUGAGUGGACGCUCCGUAUCAUAUUAAUUCUUUUAUGCGCAAUUCGUUUGUAAUUUAGUGCGAAUAAAGUGUAAAAAUCAAGACUGUGCAAUCAAUUAAGAUCUUCUAUCCACGACAGCGUUCUUUAUUUCUACGAAAUGAAAUUAGCACCCUCGAUAAAACAACGAUUCCACGAGCGAACGAAUGAAUCAUCCAUUAAAGUACCCGACGCAUCAAGUAGACGAGCAAAAACCUAUCUCGACAGGAGAAUCUCUUCUUCGAACCCUCUCCUUGCCCACCUUUACUCGACAUCAAAGGGUUCACGAAUUCCGGAAAUGCGCUUCUCCAAGGAUCCCCAGGCGCUCGCUCGAAAUUAGCGCGGAUUCGUCGGCGUGGUGACGUUGGGAAACGCCUGGGUAAUAUAACUUUUGCUCGUAAACGGAAGACAAAGACAGAGAGAGAGAGAGAGAGAGAGAGAGAGAGAAACUCAACGUAGGAAGAGUGGGAAACAGAGAGGGAUAAAGGGUCAUAUUGGGAGGCAUGCAAGAUAUACCGAUGGCGUGUAGGGGAGAUUUGGCCCGAGGAUCAAACCACUAAUCCUUGCGUAGUAAUCGAUGAUUUCCGCCCCUAAAUUGCUCCUUCCUCCAUGGGGCCAUAGACCAGGAUGAACGAAGCUUAAACGGGGGAACCGCGUUGUCGGCGCUUUUGUUCUUCUAAAAGCGGCGGUAGCGACAACGAUAUAAUUAUUUUGAUUAUUAUUGGAGACGGUCGUCGAGUUGCCUGUUUAUAUUGUAAUUGCAAAGAGGUGGGUAUUAGAGGUUGAUUAUUGCGUUGAUAAUUAGUACUUAGGAUCAGCGAGAUUUUUAGGUAAUUAUGAGGAUAUUAUGUUAUUCCUGAAAUAUUAUUUAAAAUAUAAAUAUUGUUUUCAGUUGAAAAGUAAAUUCUGCAAUUAUGAAAAUUAUUGAUAGUGGCUAUAGGUUCCGCGUACCGAGUACCGAAUAUAAAUUCCAAUACUUGCAUCGAAAGUGUUACGUGUAUUUAAUGAUCGGGUACCUACAACAAUUCUCUAUUUCAUCUUAAUAAUACAAGAUAUACAAGUGAAGCGAUUAGGAUAAUAGCAAAAAGUGAUCAUUCCCAUCUCAGCACAAGAGACAGUUUGGUAAUUCAUGUGACAUCGCGACUAUCUUGAGAUAUCUAACGCUAAUGAAACGCCCUGGGCCAAUAGGAAAUUGCGCCUUGGUAAACAUUAAUAAACUUACACACGCGUCACAUUUACUGACAUAUCGAGGUAUAGUGGAAUGUGUACAUAGUUCCUAAUUUCAAUAGUAACUUGUUUCAUUAAGGAAAUGUAACAAAAGUUCAGAAAUUUGAUUCGUCUUAUACCAUAAAAUUUCUGAAGAAAACUUAAGAGCUCGUAUAACUUAAAAUAAAGAGAAUAGAAGUGAUGAAUAUUAUCAAAUAUUAUAAUUUAAGUAAAUAUGAUAUUACAAUUAAUCGAUAUUAUAGUAUUUAGAAAAUCAUCGCGCAAUAAAUGUUUCGCUUCCUUAAAACUUGUAAAUUCCAAUAUAUGAUAAGAGAUUUCAAUUCCAAAUUAUUAAAAAUGCUCCAGGAAGAUUGGAAUUUUAGAAAAUUGAUGUGGUAAGGGACCUUCUGAAUUCUUCAUUCUGUUCAAAAUAUUAUUUCAUUUAUGAGUUCUUUUGAGUACAAAAAUCAACGAAUGUUUCAACUCUAUUGUACAAUAAUACAAAAAACAAUUAAACCAAUGUUUCGCGUUUCACAUUUUUAACAAUUGAAGAAUAUAAAUUGUGCUAUCUUUUUCACAAGAUUAUCUAUAUUUACAAUACUUGCAAUGGCAGUAUAAUGUUUUGUAUUAUCUUACAGUAAUCAUUAAGUAGAAAUACCAAAAUUAUACCACACUCCUCGAAGGAAUUAACUUCAUAUUUAAUUUCAAGAAACUCGUCAGCCAUAUAAUCGUUCGAUAAAAAAGCAGAUGUGGUAAAGAUAUCACAAUCGAGCGGAACAAAUCUGUUUCGUUCGAUAACUGAUUAAUACGCGGCACCACGGGAGCAAACCGGAAAUCCUCUUAUACAAAGAUUACGCUGGGACGAAUUUAAGGCGGCAACUAAUCACAUAAUACUUGCCGCGUGGUUUUAAGAAGAUUAACGUUCCAAGGAUAUAUGCCGUUCGGCAAAUUCUCCUUUAUUUAUGCUCGCGGUGUUCAAACCACGGUCAGAAACGCAAGCGCGCGAAUAAUUUUCGGAGGUAACUUUCGUACAAGAGAGUAUGGAUUCCGGAAUGCAUAUUUUAUUCGAUAACUUCGUAAUACCCGCGAUACAACCGGUUGCCGUCCGUAAAUCCACUGCUUCCGCCGCUUCCGUCCGAACGAAUUUAAAGCAGCAACUAAUCGCGUAAUACUUGGCUUAGUUUUAAGGAGAUUAAUGUUUCGAGGUUGCGUGCCCCGUCGUUCCGUUCCUCUGCAUUCCUCAUAUUUUCUUCUGUUCUAUCUGUGUCUUGUUUUGUUGUUUGGUACCGAAAAAGAUGGAUAAGUAUUUUUCGUUAUAUACGGCGGCUCGUGAAAGUAUUCAAACACGCGUAAAAACCUUUUACGAAUAUAUUAUGUGCGUUAUACUAAGCAUUUUGAAAUUUCGUUAACUCUAUGUUGAUGGGAUUUAGAACAAAUAUAAAAAUGUAUAUAAUGCAAAUAUAUAUUUUGCAAAGAUCACGAAAGUAUUUAAACAGUCAAGUACUUAUUACAUCGACAAGUUUCAAUAGAACCAUUCUUAACAUUCAUUGUAUCUUUAAGAUGGUCAUUCUCGCUGUUCUACGAAAUAUAUGCGUUUGUCAUGAAUGUCUUGUAACUUCUACAUAUAUUUUCAAUUUGGCUUAGAAUCUUGUCAACGUCAUCAUCACGGCCGUAUCCCAUUACAGUGGCAUUGAAAAAUGCAACUACACGUCCUGCUUAAAUUAUACACUAUACUUUUGCAGGAACUCAUCGAUGGAUUCUUUCAUAUUCUAUAAAAACUUCUUUCUGAGAAAAAUCGUUUUAAACUACCUCUAACCGAUGAAUCCACUUUAAGUGGUACAAGUUGCAACGUACCCCUUUAUCUUCAUCAUAGCUUUCAAGAUGUCAAAACGAUCUGCAAUAUAUGUACAAGUUACCUUCCCAGAAUGCUUGUUCGGCUUAAAAACUUCCAUCAGGGGAAUAACAAAAAUGUCUCGACAUGUACAGCGUGUCUUGGUGAGUUAACAAAGUUUUAAAAGAGAUCAGAAUUGCCGGGUUGCCUGGCUCUUCGUUACCGCGUCCUUCUUUUUCCCUGCGAGACACACCCUUUCCUUUCCGCUUCCAUUAACCCUCUCCACUUUGCCGAUCCCUUCGUUGUUUCUCCGUUUCUUCGUUUGCUCGCGCGCGAUAAAGGCUCGCGUAAUUAUACACGGCCACGAAUCAAUCCGUUCGAAACGUCACAGCCGUACGAUUACAGAAUAAUAACAGUGCCGGCUGUUCGUUAUCGCGCCACGGCUGGGUUUAAUGCAACCUGCCACGUGAACGAACGAAUUCCUGAUAAAACGGGGUCGACGUGUUACUUUUGAGGGAACGAACCCAUUUAUCUUUUCGCGGGACCGACUAGUCCUGAGUAUCCAAGAGAACUGCUUUAUAUCUGACGAUGCUUCCGGAAUCGCGAUCGCGAUCUCGAUGCUUUAUCCGAUACGAUCUGCUUAAACCUUUGCCCGUGUUGUGCCUCCUGUAGGAAAAACGCCUGACUAUGAGACUAGUCAUGAACGCUUUGAACGUAUUUCACGUAACGAGAACGAGGAAAUGCGUAAUCUCUGGUAAGUUAGGUUGCUGGAUUAGCAGGUGAAAAUUAUUUCCGGAGACGAUACCUGAAACAUUUGUAUUAUAGUGUUUUGAAAUGUCACGUAGUAUUUUUUAGAAAUGACUGUUUCAACGGAUGAAAGACGAUCUCUGUAGAUACAUACUCGUGUGUCAUAUAAAAAUGUAAUGGUUAACAGAACUUAGUAAUAUCCAAUCUGACAUUAAUAAUACUCAGCGCAUAAUAUUAAAAAUACUCUUGCUUUAAUUCUUUAACAUGUACGUUGCGUUUUGACGAUUUACUAUUUCAUUGAAUAUUUGUUGUUGUCUUCACAUCUGGCAAAGAAUAUUGUAUCGUCAUGAUAAAUACGUAUAUGGUAUCAUGACCGAGUAACAUUUUUACAGUUUUUUCAAGUAAUGAUCGAUAAAGUGAAGCUAAAUGCAAAGAUAUUUAUUUGUAUUAUUUAUUUAUAGAAAAAUUAUAUCAUAUCUGGGUAAAGGAAAUAAGAUUCCAAUUACAGAAACAGUAAAAUUUUCUUCAAAUUCCUGUACAUUUGAAAAUUGUAUAUUUCAAACAGAGAAACCUUCAUUUCUUCCAAAUUUCAUCGAAUCAUUUAGAAUUGUACCCGGAUGACGAGCCGCGGGAUUCACGGGAGCCCAUAAACGAUCAAUUGCGAUCAAUUUCAACGGAAUUAACUUUCGACUAGACGAGAAAAAAGAAUCCAUAAAUUCCCUUAAGAGGUCUCUGUGAACUUUCCGCUUGAACACACCGUCGAGUCGUCGUUAAGCCAUCGAAGUUCGCUGCUCCAGACCAAAAAGCGAGAACCGAGCGAAGGAAGGAACGAAGGAGGAGAAGAACUCGAGAAAACGAAUUGCUAAGGUGGACGUCGACGGGGCCAAAUCCGAUGGGGUCGUUAUGGACGUAUGGAGUCAGUGCCCCGAUGAAACGUGGUGGUAGCCACAAGGUCUUGGGUGUCCUUAGACAUGAAAUCGCUCGUCGAGAAACGUAGCCUGCAGAAGAUCUCUGAAUUUUUUGAUAAAUUGCGAAGAAUAACACGAAAAAUGUGUCUUUUUCAACGCUACAUGUAACAGAAUGGUCAAAAUGAUCAAUUCAUAAUUUUUCAUAGAAAUUUUAUGGAUUUCUGACGAUACAUUUCUUGGGACUUAAAUAGUUUUUUUUUUUUUUUUGAAAAUGGACAACUAAGGCUUUGAAUUAGGUUCACUCGCAUUAGAUAUUUUUCAUUUUGAUCUCCUCGGUUUGAAUUUUAUGCUUUAGUCGAUAGUUUUAGUGUUACAUAUCGGUAUUAUGUUUUCAGAAGUUUCUGAAAGAUGGCCUAAUCAAUCGAAAAAUUUUAGGAACAUCUCUAGCCUAACGCAGCCUCACGUAUACGCUCGAAAAGUUCUGUAGAAACUUUUUUAGAAAACAAUAUAUCGUUAUGAAAAAGUUCAGUCCUCAAGAAUAUCGUUUAAGUAGAUCGGUACAAUUUCACAUCACAUUUAGAAAGAGUUAGGAACGUUUCAUUUCCGAGAAACUAGUUAACAGAGACCGUCUCAUUAUCUAAAAUGCCUCAAAUGACCCGGACUCUUAAGUCCCUUCUAAAUUUUCCACCUACAAUAGGAUAAAUUAUCACGAGUGCACUCUCAUCACGCGAAAUGCGUUACUCUUCUGUCUGCUCGUUGAAACAGGAAAAAGUUGGUAACCAGACGCGAAAUAAGAAGAAAGAUGUACCAGCCUGUACCGCUUUGCUAAAUUUCUGCAAAAGUGUCGCUCUCAAAGAAUUUCACGAAAUUUUCGUGGAGGUAUUUUUGAAAGUAAAUUACCAUUGUGAUAAUUAUCCUGAUAAAAAGAACUCUUUACUCGACGGUUUAAUAAUCCAGGCUUAAGACAGAUUAAGCGACGGCAAACCAUUAAUUUGAAUUUAUAAUCGACGUUUUAAUUGGUUGUAAAACGAAGCGCGAUAUUUUAUUUUGGAGGAUGUAAUAAGUUUUUACCAUUUUAAAUAUUUCCUAAAAUUUUCCUCCAUAUAUUUGAAACACUCAAGUAGCAAAAUUGAGAAUAUACACUAGAAACAAAAACUUAUACUUCUGUUGAUGCGAGCAUCUGCAUCGUAUAUCACUCACACGCUAUGGAUUUUCAGCAUACAUUUACAAAUUUAAAGGAAAAAUAAAUGGUGAAAAAUACAUUGGAAUAGUGAAAUUUAUCCCUCUAAAAAGAUCGUUCUCUGUUUCUUUGACACUUCAUCGUUUAUCGUCGCAACUCUUCGAUUAUCAAUUAAAGGAAAAAAUGCCUAUAAUCUCGAGUGUAUAGAAUAUAAAUUCGUAGGAAAUAAUGUGAGUUACCAAAAAGAAGCUGAGUGACAAUCAGAGAACGCGAUCGAAGAAAUAUCGAUCGAACGGAAAGACAAACACUGAGGUCGAUUAUGAGAAAGUUCAAAGAGCAGGAGAAGAAAAGUUUAAUGCAGAAAAGCAGCAAGUGGGUCAAAGUGGCGAAUGGAGACAGAGAAAAGAAAAGGCAAAGAGAUAAAACGGGCAGGCAGAAGAAGCUGAAGAAGAAACGAAUGAACAACAGAGAAGCAGAAAAACCGGGUAAAAGGACGAUCGUGAGUGGAAUAAAAAGGUAUCGUCAAAAAAGAAGGAACGUCUGGCAGGGUAAUGGAGAAAGGAAGCGGUAGAAGAAAAAAGAAUAAUGAAGUUUCAACUUUGAAGAAAAGAAAAAAUGGCAGGAGUCAUGGGGUGCUACAUGCACGGGGAUAAAUCGACUGUGUACCGAUUUCACAACGUGCAGUUAUUUCGCAAAAGAAGAGAGACAAAAGCUGAAACAACCAUUACACGGACGUUAUUGCACUGAAUGGUUCGUUUUCGUGCUGGAGAGGAUGGACGGUAAUCGAAACAUCGUUGGUCACUGUUUUUUUGUUUUUUAUCUUUCUUUUCUAUUCGACCGGUCCUGUAUUCGCAAGAAUCACCUGUUUGUUUAACACUUUUUCAUCUUCUUUUUUAAUUCCCAAUUCCUCUUUUUUAUUUAUAUGUAAUUUAUUUCAGUCUAUCUUUUGUCUAUCUUUUCUAUCUUUUUGUUGGCCGCAUUUAGGUCGUCCCAGGACGAAUUCGUUUCGAAAGGUUCACUAGAUGCGUUCGAUCGACCCGCGGGGACUGAUGUACGCGAAUCGAUGAUAGCGAUGAUGACCCAGUGUUUUUAAUAAAGUUCCGGAUAGAUGCACCUGUCAGAUCGCUAUGAAUCAAAGGGAUCUAUUCUUUUAGCGUACUGACAGCAACUGAUGGAAAAGCAUGUGUUUUUUGUUUUUCGACCACUGAUCAACGGAAAAAAUGGAAAUUAAAUUGUGUAUCUUAACGCGUAUCUCCUAUCGAGUAUAUAAAGUAGAAUGAUAUAAGCCACAUAAAAUAAUAAUCAUUUAUUUAUUUUUUUAUGUCCUGGCAACAAAUAAAAAUACAUUGUAAAAGUUAAAAAUCCAUCAAAUUCAAUAAACAUCACCCAUUCUUACACAAUUUGCUAAAAACAAUUUGCACUCUUGCCAAAAGCACUCUACCGAGCACGAUUUUAUCGAAACUCCAUAUGGACGAAACAGAGGAAAAAUAACUCAGAAAGUUCAGAACGGAUCACCAUUCGUCUAAAUAAAAAUUACAUAUAGCAGAAAAGAUAUAAACUAUCCAAAAAUUAUCACCACUUAUGUAAUCAAUUAUUACGUACGAACUAUAUAUAUAUAUUUAAACAUUGUUCUCACAUUUGCUACAAACAAUUUGCACAACUCUAGAAACACUUCAUCGGGCGCGGUUUUACCGAAACCUCUUCAUACCAAGGAAACAGAGGAAAAACAGUCCACGUAAAAAGGAAAAAAAAGACCACAAAGGACAAGUGACAAGUGUUUACUGGGAGUUGGUCUU